GCGCAGUCUCUCUCUCGCCGUCGCCACUGCCGCUGGCCGAACUUCGUUCAAUAAGCACUGCUUGCAACUGCAUCAAAGCAAGUGGAGCUUGCUGACUCACUGGAAAGUUUAAAGGUGACCAGCUUAACGCGGCAGCGGACAAGCUCUUGUUGGCCAAGAAACAAAUCUUAUACGCCAGGAAGAUGAAUAAAUUGUUUCGUGAGACAGCUUUGCCAAACCUGCUGCUCCCUAUUGACUCUCAAAAUUGCAGUAACUUCCGCCGAGUUCAAUCGGCACUCGAAGGUUCUCAUUUUAGGUUUAAAGGUUCCUUUCAACAUUUUGAGACUACAUCUUUCUCUAUACUAUUAUUGGACUUCUGAAGAGCAAUGUCAACUUUUAUAGUCCUUUGGGUGUAGUGGUAGCAGGAAUGUUCUUACCAAAUUAGUUGUUGUGUAUUGGAGUUUAAUUAGAGCAAUGUAUGUGUUUUGUAAUGAUCUAAGCAAAUCAUUUCAAAUGUAAUAUGUAGUUGAUUUUUUUUU